UUCCACUGUUGAAAGUUUGUUAGCUUACAAUAGUCAUAGUUAGGUUCAGGAGUUUUUCCACAAUGUGAUCUGAUCAGGAAAAACUCUUGGCCCUAGUUAUGACAUCAGCUGAUCAGAAGAAACCGUUGCUCUUACCAGUAGGUAAUGUUUUAACCAUAAUAACUACCACAACUAGGUCCUGUGUGUGUUUGCCUCUACAGAGUGUGACAUGGGACGGUAUGGCCCAAACUGUGAACGCCCGUGCCAGUGUCUGAAUGCCGGUGUGUGCCAGACCACCACGGGCACCUGUCAGUGCCCAUCUGGGUACAUCGGAGCAGACUGCAACACCACAUGCCCAUCAGGGCGCUAUGGGCAGGACUGUGCCAGGGUGGCCCUGUGUGGCGAGGGGGCACGAAGUGACCCAGAGACGGGCAGGUGUGUGUGCAAGGCGGGCCAGCGGGGAGAAGACUGCAGACAGGGUUGUGCCCAGGGCUGGUAUGGGGAAGACUGUGGUCAGCACUGUAACUGCAGUAACGGUGGUGUGUGUGAACUGGUCUCUGGAGGCUGUACCUGCGGACUAGGCUGGACCGGACCCAGCUGUGAUACAGAGUGCCCAUCAGGGAGUUACGGAGCCAACUGCAAACUGCGGUGUGAUUGUCAUAACAACGGGACGUGUGACAGAGUGACGGGAGAGUGCCAGUGUGACCCGGGAUACUAUGGUCACCUGUGUGAACAUGCCUGCCCUGCUGGUUUCUAUGGCCACCGCUGUCAGCGCCAGUGUAAGUGCCGAGGCCUCGCCCCCUGUGACCCAAGCACAGGGCACUGUCUCUGCCCUACUGGUUACCAUGGAUACCACUGUGAGAAAGAGUGUGAGCAGCGUCGUUUCGGGGUGGGCUGCAACCAGUCAUGUGACUGCGAGGGGGACACCCCAUGUGACCCCAUGACCGGCCACUGUCUGUGCCCCACAGGGAAGAUGGGAACGCGCUGUGACACAAAUUGUCCAGUGAACCACUACGGCCCGGACUGUUCUGAGAGCUGUGAGUGUAGGAACGGGGCACGGUGUGAUCCACGGAACGGCCGCUGCACUUGUCUACAGGGCUGGAUAGGACCUACCUGUCAGGAAGGAGGGUCCUCACGUCUCCACAGCAGUCCCAACAGAAACCAAGAAAAUCAGCACUCACAGACUCCUGUUCCAGUAUAGCACCCCCUACUGACUGACCCCCAGCUGGGGCUUACUGGUCACCUCUAGAGGUCACAGAGCUCGAAACUGAACUGACACACUCAAAACAAUAGACUGUUUAUACAGAGAUGGGAGUGCAAUGGCAUGGACUUGAUGAACUAAAUACCAGUAGGUGUCAACAGAGAAUUUGUACCGAGACAUUCUAUUGGUGUCAGCGCCGGGACCUAUGAACUGGUAGAUGCCAUUUAUGGAGAGUUGUCUAGUCGCAGACAUUGAUGAGACAAUGGAGUUCACAUAACACACUAGGAUUGAUUCUGCUACACUUCACGCUACGGGGUUGACUCUGCUACAUUUUGCUUGACGGGGUUGACUAUCCUACUCUUCACGUUACAGGGUUGACUCUGCUACUCUUCACGCUACAGGGUUGACUCUGCUACACUUCACGUUACAGGGUUGACUCUGAUACACUUCACGUUACAGGGUUGACUCUGCUACACUUCACGUUACAGGGUUGACUCUGCUACACUUCACGUUACAGGGUUGACUAUCCUACUCUUCACGCUACGGGGUUGACUCUGCUACACUUCACGCUACGGGGUUGACUCUGCUACUCUUCACGUUACAGGGUUGACUCUGCUACUCUUCACGUUACGGGGUUGACUCUGCUACCCUUCACGUUACAGGGUUGACUCUGCUACAUUUCACGCUACGGGUUGAUCUGCUAACUUCACGCUACGGGG